rnacentral:rRNA from 1 species
UCCUACGGGAGGCAGCAGUGAGGAAUAUUGGUCAAUGGGCGAGAGCCUGAACCAGCCAAGUCGCGUGAGGGAAGACGGUCCUAUGGAUUGUAAACCUCUUUUGCCGGGGAGCAAAAAGCGGUACGCGUACCGCAUCGAGAGUACCCGGAGAAAAAGCAUCGGCUAACUCCGUGCCAGCAGCCGCGGUAAUACGGAGGGGGCAAGCGUUAUCCGGAAUUACUGGGUGUAAAGGGAGCGUAGACGGUUAAGUAAGUCUGGAGUGAAAGGCCGGGGCCCAACCCCGGGACUGCUCUGGAAACUAUUGA